rnacentral:lncRNA from 1 species
UUAGUGAUUGAGGUGGAGGAGGGGUCAGGACACAGAAUAGAGAGGCCUGGCCACGCCGGUCUCUGGCCCUGGUGGGGAGAGAUGCCAUACUGCUUAGUGGCCAGUUGGUAGGAGGACACCUUCCCAGCCAGCAAGGAAAGUCCACCAGGCCUCCCUGGAACAAGGCCCCCCAGGAGGUAGGCUGUGAUGUAAGAGAAAUGGGAAGGUUACACCUAAUGAUGAACUAACUUCUGUGGGGCGAUCUAUGCCCUCUAAGUAAGCAAAGGCUUGAGAAAGGGUGUACGCAAAGAAGCUCUAAUUAUCCCCCGAGGUUGUGUUUCCUUAGAGGAAAUGAACUGGGCAUGGCAUUCGCGGUGGAUCGGCAGAAAUGUACCAGCCCAAUAGCUUCCAGAUUGCUGCUCAGGCGUGCCAUGCUGGGAGCCCCUCCAGUGGGGCUGCUGACUCCAUACCCCCAUCUGGGUUUGGAGGAGGAAUCCAACGCAUUCCCAGAGACCAAAUGAGGACACAGUCAAGAGUGGAGGCAUUAAGUUUUGCUGCUGCUUGCUGUGUUCCCAGCCAGGAGCCAGCCCCUGCCUUCAAGGAACUGAAUGGCUGGGAGUAUGGGGAGUCCUACAAAAGCCUUCUGAAGUUAUGCCAGCUCGGCCCAGCCUCCACUACUGACACAGACUAAUAUUUUGUGGACUCCAAAGUGGCCGUGUCCUGCUCCUUCAGCUUCCUCUUCUGUGGCUUUCAUCAUUCUGAGAGCUCCGGCCCCAACUGCUCUGGGGAGCCUUGAUCAGCAUCACGGCCACCACACUGAUGAAAUCCCCAGGCAUUCGGAUGCCACUUCAAGUUCUUGGAAAGGAUUUUCACAGGAUGUCAUUGUUUCCACCUGGAAACCAGA